CCUACGGGAGGCAGCAGUGGGGAAUAUUGCACAAUGGGGGCAAGCCUGAUGCAGCGACGCCGCGUGAAGGAAGAAGGCUUUCGGUAUGUAAACUUCUUUCAUCAGGGAAGAAAAUGGCGGUACUUGACUACGAAUCCCCGGCUAAAAACGAGCUGGCAGCCGCAGUAAUACGUAGGGGGCAAGCGUUAUCCGGAUUUACUGGGUGUAAAGGGGGCGUAGGCGGCGAUGCAAGUCAGAAGUGAAAGCCCGGGGCUCAACUCCGAGACUGCUUUUGAAACUGUGUUGCUUGAGUGGACGAGAGGUAUGUGGAAUGCGUAGUGUAGCGGUGAAAUGCGUAGAUAUUACGAAGAACACCGAUGGCGAAGGCAGCUUACUGGACUGGAAAUGACGCUGAGGCUCGAAAGCGUGGGUAGCGAACAGGAUUAGAUACCCUUGUAGUC
rnacentral:rRNA from 1 species